GCGGACAUAGCUCAAUUGGUUAGAGCGCCGGACUGUGACUCCGGAGGUUGCCGGUUCGAUCCCGGUUGUCCGCC
rnacentral:tRNA from 2 species